rnacentral:rRNA from 1 species
AUUGAACGCUGGCGGCAGGCCUAACACAUGCAAGUCGAACGAGUGGCGGACGGGUGCGUAAUGUCUGGGAAACUGCCUGAUGGAGGGGGAUAACUACUGGAAACGGUAGCUAAUACCGCAUACCAUCAGAUGUGCCCAGAUGGGCGUAGCUAGUUGGUGGGGUAACGGCUCACCAAGGCGACGCUCCCUAGCUGGUCUGAGAGGAGGACCAGCCCAACUGGAACUGAGACACGGCCCAGACUCCUACGGGAGGCAGAAGUGGGGAUGAUUGGACAAUGGGCGAAAGCCUGAUGCAGCAAUGCCGGGUGUAUGAAGAAGGCCUCCGGGUUGUAAAGUACUUUCAGCGGGGAGGCGUUACCCGCAGAAGAAGCACCGGCUAACUCCGUGCCAGCAGCCGCGGUAAUAC